UACGAAGGGGGCUAGCGUUGCUCGGAAUCACUGGGCGUAAAGCGCACGUAGGUGGGUCGUUAAGUCGGGGGUGAAAUCCUGGAGCUCAACUCCAGAACUGCCUUCGAUACUGGCGAUCUUGGAGUCCGGGAGAGGUGAGUGGAACUGCGAGUGUAGAGGUGAAAUUCGUAGAUAUUCGCAAGAACACCAGUGGCGAAGGCGGCUCACUGGCCCGGUACUGACACUGAGGUGCGAAAGCGUGGGGAGCAAACGGG
rnacentral:rRNA from 1 species